rnacentral:rRNA from 1 species
AUUGAACGCUGGCGGCAUGCCUUACACAUGCAAGUCGAACGGUAGAGGGGCAACCCUCGAGAGUGGCGAACGGGUGAGUAAUGCAUCGGAACGUGCCCAGUAGUGGGGGAUGGCCCGGCGAAAGCCGGAUUAAUACCGCACACGAACAUCGGGUGAAAGGGGGGGAUGGACAGACCUCUCGAUAUUGGAGCGGGCUAUGUCAGAGUAGGUAGUUGGGGGGGUAAAGGCCUACCAAGCCGACGAUCUGUAGCUGGUCUGAGAGGACGACCAGCCACACUGGGACUGAGACACGGCCCAGACUCCUACGGGAGGCAGCAGUGGGGAAUUUUGGACAAUGGGCGAAAGCCUGAUCCAGCCAUGCCGCGUGCGGGAAGAAGGCCUUCGGGUUGUAAACCGCUUUUGUCAGGGAAGAAAUCCUUUGGGCUAAUACCCUGGGGGGAUGACGGUACCUGAAGAAUAAGCACCGGCUAACUACGUGCCAGCCGCCGCAGUAAUAC